UACCGGGGGGAGGGGACCCCGCCCGCGCCCACCCCCCCCGCCGAGCCCUCGCCCGAGUUGGCCGAGAUGUAAACGAUGACGCCGACGAUGUUGGACAGGCCUGGCAGCGAAGGGGUUAAAUGGCUCGUUAAUGGGGGGGGAAAUUAAUUAAAGAGGUAAAAAAUGGGAGAAAUUAAAAAAAUCGGGGGAAAUGUAAAGGAAAUGGUUAAAAAAGGGGAAUGAUGGAAAGGAUGGCGGCGGCGAUGUUGGACAGGCCUGGCAGCGAAGGGGUUAAAUGAUUCGUUAAUGGGGGGGGAAAUUAAUUAAAGAGGUAAAAAUGGGGAGAAAUUAAAAAAAUCGGGGGAAAAUGUAAAGGAAAUUAUUAAAAAAGGGGAAUGAUGGAAAGGAUGGCGGCGGCGAUGUUGGACAGGCCUGGCAGCGAAGGGGUUAAAUGAUUCGUUAAUGGGGGGGAAAAAAUGGGGGGAAAUUAAAAAUUUGAAAUUAAAAAUAUAUGGGGGGAAAAGAUUUUUUAAUGGGGGAAAAUUAAAAAAAAGGGAUGAAUUUUGGGAUGGAUUUUGGGGGUUUUGGGAUGGGUUUUGGGAUGGAUUUUUUUGUGGAUUUUGAAGUUUUUUGGGAUGGAUUUUUGGAUGGAUUUUGGGUGGAUUUCGGGGUUUUUGGGAUGGUUUUUGGGAUGGAUUUUGGAUGGAUUUUGGGAUGGAUUUUUGGGGUUUUUGGGAUGGUUUUUGAGAUGGAUUUCGGGGAUGGAUUUUGGGAUGGAUUUUUUAUGGAUUUUGAUGGUUUUUGGGAUGGAUUUCGGGAUGGAUUUUGGGAUGGAUUUUGGGAUGGAUUUUGGGAUGGAUUUUGGGAUGGAUUUUUUAUGGAUUUUGGGAUGGAUUUUCGGGGUUUUUGGGAUGGAUUUCGGGGAUUUUGGGGCGGAUUUGGGGGUCAUACCCGCGGCCACAAAGAGGAUGCCGGGAUGGAUUUUGGGAUGGAUUUUGGGAUGGAUUUUGGGAUGGAUUUUGGGGUGGAUUUCAGGGAUUUUGGGGUGGAUUUGGGGGUCAUACCCGCGGCCACGAAGAGGAUGCCGGGAUGGAUUUGGGAUGGAUUUUGGGGUGGAUUUCGGGGAUUUUGGGGCGGAUUUGGGGGUCAUACCGGCGGCCACGAAGAGGAUGCCGGCGCCGAGCACGAGGCUGGUCCUGGCCCGCCGCAGGCGCGAGGCGGCCACGCAGAGCCCCCCCAGCAGCAGCAG
rnacentral:lncRNA from 1 species